rnacentral:lncRNA from 1 species
AUCGGUGGGCGGGUCGUCCAUCGCCAGGGCGACACGUCGGGAUGCACCGCGGGCUGGGCAAGAGCUUCGGGUGGCCGCGUGGAGCCGCUGGCGGUGGAGGCGCAGCGGCGCGAUCGAAUCGGCAGACGCGGCGUCGGUCGCCGGAUGAGCUAACGACGGGGCUUCACCUCAGGCUGCUGGUGGUGGGGCUGCACUGCGAGCUGGACGGGAGCUUCGGGUGGCGCAGGCCCCCGCGGGCGACGGUGGGACGUGCAGCGGCAUGACCGAAUCGACGGAGAGGAAGGGUGGCGGCGGCUGGUGUGCGAUUUAGGUUUAAGCCUCCUUUGGUUUGGAGGAAUUUUGUAGGAUUUUCAUAGCAUAGGAUUUUUAUAGGAAAAAUUCCUUUAGAGCUCUUUGGUUUGUAGGAAUGAAAUACUAUUCCUAUGGAGGAAUUCUUCCUAUCCUCCACAUUUCAUAGGAAAACAAACAUUAGCCUAGACUCAAUGGAAAAAAUCCUAUGGUGUGAAUCAAAGGGCAUCUCUUUUUCUAUUCCUAUUUAUAGGAUUUGAGAUGCAUGUCAUCUCAUUUCCUAUGACUUUUCUAUUCCUAUGAUUUUCCAAUCCUAUGAACCAAAGGAGGCCUUAGGUUUGUGUGUGGCCAGGGUGAGAUAG